ensembl:lncRNA WDFY3-AS2 WDFY3 antisense RNA 2
UGCCUUCCAGACGCGCCUCUUCCCCGCCCCGCGCCCCUCUCUCCUCUCCCACCCCUGCCCCUCUCCGCGGCGCUCACCCUCCUCAGUCCCAGUUUCUGAAAGGACUCAGCUGAGAAAGGACAACUGGGUUCCGCUUUCCUUAACCCUACACCCUUUAGCUGGAUGCUGUCAGAGGCGAUGGAGAAACGCAAAGGCUACUAGACGCAACAAUAGAAUUACCAUAUUGUUUUUCCUGGUUUGAAAGGACCAGAUGGAAAGAAACUGGGCAAGCCAAUGAAAGUCUCUGGGGAUCAUGGGAAUUGAGUGUCUAUGAAAACCAUAUUCCAGACAAGAAUAUAGUCUAAGGUUUAUGGGACUCCCCAGUACUCUCCAUGUAGAGUCUAAUGUAGAAUCCAGGAGUGCACAGAAAAGUCACUGGAUGACACAGCAAGAGGCAACAUUUUGGAAGCAGAGGGCAACUCUCACUGGAAACCAAAUCUCCUGGCACCUUGAUCUUGGAUUUUACAGCCUCCAGAACUGAUAGCUGGGAGGCAUUACAUAGUCAUGUGCGAGGUCAAAACUGAGUCACCACCACAACCAAGUUCCAGCUGGCAAGAAGAGGAAAAAUAACACAGAGGAGUUAUGACCAGUGUUGUAAGGAUCUGGCCUAGAAAUGGCAUGCAUCUCUUCCACUAAUAUCCUAUUGGUAAAAAUGUAGUCACAUGGGCACACCACCUAUCUGCAUGGAAGGCUGGGAAAUGUUGAUCGGUAGGGCAGCCAUAUGUGUAGGAAGGAGAAAACAGAAUUUGGUGGAUACCUAGUAGUCUCUGCCAUACCCUUGACCAGAAAUUUUUCUUCUAAAGAAUUUAAUUCUAAAAGUUAUAGACAUUCCCAAAGAUAUACCUGCAAGCAUCACAGCUUUGUGUAUAAUUGCAAAAGUUGAAAUCAACAUGAAUGCCCAAAAUAGUGAAUUAUUUAAACAGAUUAUUACCCAUAUUAUGAAGAAAUACUCUGCAACUCUUAAAAAUAAAUGUAAUGUGCCAGGCGCAAUGGGAUAUGCCUGCAGGCCCAGCUACACGGGAGGCCAAGGCAGGAGGAUCACUUGAAAUCAAGAGUUCAAGUCUAGCCUAGACAACAUAGUGAGACUUGGUCUCUAAAAAAGAAAAAAAAAAAUAAAACUGAUGUAAUGAAUAUAUAAUUACAACAAAAGAGGUCUAACACUAUAGUAGAAAAGUUUGGGGCACUCAUCCCAUUCAUAAUUAUUUUACAUUUAAAUUACUGUUCCUACUUAAGUGGUGAGCUUGGUAACCAUUUUCAUAUCAGGUGAUACUGCUGCAGUAAUCAUAGCUGUUUGAAUCAGGAAUAAUCCCAAUCACAUUUUCUCUUAAUCGUUUAUUAUACUGGGCAUUGGGGUUGCAAGAUAAUGCACAGUCCGAGCUCAAUACAUGUCUUCAUGUACCUGUAUGUAAAUCCCACUUUUAUUCUAAAAUUCUUUGAAUAUUUUGUUUCUUGGAACCCAAUGAUCCUAAGAAAAUUAUGUACUUUUACCUGAAAAUUAAAACCAAUAUUUAUAAAAAGUGUAUAUGCAGUAUGAUACCACUUUUAAAAAAAGAUAAAUUUAUAGAAAAAAGUUUAUAUGACUGACAACAAUGUCUCUGAGUGGUAGGAUUACAGUUAAUUUUUAUUUUCUUCAUUCUACUUAUCUUUAUUUUCUGAACUUUCUACAAUGAACAUGUUUUAUUUUUACUUUUGUUAAAAUAAAUAACAUUUAAUUUGACGGAAAAUUCUAAAAAUCAACAUUUGGUAACUUAAAUAUUCAUUGGCACAUGAUUCUGUGCCUGUUUCUGGGGGUCAUUCCCAUGAGAAGAGCAGGUAGAACUUAUGAGAAUAGAGCAGUCGAAAUAUUAUAGGUUUCAUAUUUUACGGCUUUAUUGAAAACAUUGAUAUAUUGAAUAUUCAUAAAUUUUAAUUUAACUUUCUUUUAUAAUCCUUAAUGUGAGGCUAAGGUAUAAGGAGAAAGGAGAUUGGUAAGGAAGUGUGAUACAUAUUGAAUCAGGUGUCAAGGUACCAUUUGUGCCUGGAUCUGACCAAUAGACCAAGGUAAAAAUCUCAAAGAAUGAGACUUGUAAUGAGAAUGCCACAAACUUGAAUACCUUAUGCACAAAACACAAACAUUGUUAUGCAUAAUGUACAUGAACCCUGAAACAAAGAUAAUGAUUUGGACCACCCAACUGAAGUGGCAUGUUAUGUUUUUGGCAUGAACAAAAGAAACAAGAGAGAAAAAAAUCAAAAUAAUUAAAAUAAAUUGUUAGAGAAAAGUUACUUUAAAAAUAGCUAUAACGCUUUGCAAUUUCAGUAACAGUUCUGCCUCUGAUGCAAUGUAAAACAUGUAUUAGACAUUCAGGCUCCACAAUAAAUUUUAAUGAGCACUACAAAUUUAGAAUAUAUAAAAAUAUCAGUAACCUAUGAAUUCAUCAACAUAACUCACUUUUCAGUUAAGUUAGGCUGAGUUGAAAUUCUACUAAGUUUUCCCAUAUUCUUGAUAAAGGCUAAAUUUGAAAUAAUUUAUUUAGAUGACUAAUUGGCAAUUUGAUAGUAGUUACAUUUUAUGUAACACUUGAUAUAAUAACCCAAAUUAAUUAGCUCAAUAUUAUCUUCUGUGGUUUAUUGAUCCAAAAGUACAUAUUUGUUAUGUAAACUUAUACUAUGUAAACUUGAAUUAGUUUUUUGCUUCCUUGAAUUAAUAAAGCCCAUUAAUGCAAAUCUAAGCCUUCAUAGACUUUUCCAAUCCUUAGUUAAAUAUUAAAAACUGAGUAUUGUAGUUAUUUGCUAGGUAUAAAAGGUGACUCAGAGUAGAGAGUAAGAUGUCAGCAAAUAGACAAUAAGAUGUCAGCAAAAGUGCCUCAAAUUUUAACUGCGUCAAGUUAAGGGCAUUGUAAAUACUGUAGUUUUAUGUAGCUUGCAACUUCUACUGAAAUGAGUUUAAUCAUGUCUUUCACAUAGCUGAAGUUUGUGUCAAGAUUUAAGCUGAUUUUCUCAUUCUUAUCAAAGUCUCACCUGGGGGUAGGGAGGGGUAGGCCUACCUCCCACCUCUAUACUAUCAUUUUAGGAACAGACAGGCAUAAAUCUGUUCAUAUGGUAGAACACAUGAUGUUAGAGUAUAUUUUGUUGAAUGCUAUGGAAUAUUAAUAUAAUUAAUUCUAAAAUAUCACCUAAAAUAUGUCAACUGAAGAUCUGACUGUACUAAAUAUGAAAAAUAAAG